rnacentral:rRNA from 1 species
AGUGUAGGCGGCUUCGUAAGUCGGGUGUGAAAUCCCAGGGCUCAACCCUGGAACUGCAUCCGAAACUGCGUGGCUUGAGUCCCGGAGAGGAUGGCGGAAUUUCUGGUGUAGAGGUGAAAUUCGUAGAUACCAGAAGGAACACCAGUGGCGAAGGCGGCCAUCUGGACGGUGACUGACGCUGAGACUCGAAAGCGUGGGGAGCAAACAGGAUUAGAUACCCUGGUAGUC